rnacentral:rRNA from 1 species
UCGAGAGUUUGAUCCUGGCUCAGGAUGAACGCUAGCGGCAGGCUUAACACAUGCAAGUCGAGGGGUAUAGUUCUUCGGAGCUAGAGACCGGCGCACGGGUACGUAACGCGUAUGCAAUCUACCUUUUACAGAGGGAUAGCCCAGAGAAAUUUGGAUUAAUGCCCCAUAGUGUUAUUGAAUCGCAUGGUUUAAUAACUAAAGUUCCAACGGUAUAAGAUGAGCAUGCGUCCCAUUAGUUAG